GGCCAUAGCUCAGUGGUAGAGCAUCUUGCCUUGCAUGCAGACGCUCCCAGGUUCAAUCCCUGGUAGAGCUG